UGGGGAAUCUUGGACAAUGGGCGCAAGCCUGAUCCAGCCAUGCCGCGUGAGUGAAGAAGGCCUUAGGGUUGUAAAACUCUUUCGCCGGAGAAGAUAAUGACGGUACCCGCAGAAUAAGCUCCGGCUAACUUCGUGCCAGCAGCCGCGGUAAUACGAAGGGAGCUAGCGUUGUUCGGAAUCACUGGGCGUAAAGCGCACGUAGGUGGGCAGUUAAGUCAGGGGUGAAAGCCCGAGGCUCAACCUCGGAAUUGCCUCUGAUACUGGCUGUCUAGAGUUCGAGAGAGGUGAGUGGAAUUCCUAGUGUAGAGGUGAAAUUCGUAGAUAUUAGGAAGAACACCGGUGGCGAAGGCGGCUCACUGGCUCGAUACUGACACUGAGGUGCGAAAGCGUGGGGAGCAAACAGGAUUAGAUACCCUCGUAGUCCCUGAGCGGGCUGGCAAGGCGCAU
rnacentral:rRNA from 1 species